rnacentral:rRNA from 1 species
UUGAACGCUGGCGGCAUGCUUUACACAUGCAAGUCGGACGGCAGCACAGAGAAGCUUGCUUCUUGGGUGGCGAGUGGCGAACGGGUGAGUAAUAUAUCGGAACGUACCGAGUAAUGGGGGAUAACUAAUCGAAAGAUUAGCUAAUACCGCAUAUUCUCUGAGGAGGAAAGCAGGGGACCUUCGGGCCUUGCGUUAUUCGAGCGGCCGAUAUCUGAUUAGCUAGUUGGUGGGGUAAAGGCCUACCAAGGCGACGAUCAGUAGCGGGUCUGAGAGGAUGAUCCGCCACACUGGGACUGAGACACGGCCCAGACUCCUACGGGAGGCAGCAGUGGGGAAUUUUGGACAAAGGGCGCAAGCCUGAUCCAGCCAUGCCGCGUGUCUGAAGAAGGCCUUCGGGUUGUAAAGGACUUUUGUCAGGGAAGAAAAGGCUGUUGCUAAUACCGACAGCUGAUGACGGUACCUGAAGAAUAAGCACCGGCUAACUACGUG